rnacentral:rRNA from 1 species
GAUGAACGCUAGCUACAGGCUUAACACAUGCAAGUCGAGGGGAAACGGCGUUGAGUGCUUGCACUCUUCGGACGUCGACCGGCGCACGGGUGAGUAACGCGUAUCCAACUUUCCCAUAACUAAGGGAUAACCUGCCGAAAGGCAGACUAAUACCUUAUGUAAUCCUUUGACGGCAUCAGAUUAGGAUUAAAGAUUUAUCGGUUAUGGAUGGGGAUGCGUCUGAUUAGCUUGUUGGCGGGGUAACAGCCCACCAAGGCAACGAUCAGUAGGGGUUCUGAGAGGAAGGUCCCCCACAUUGGAACUGAGACACGGUCCAAACUCCUACGGGAGGCAGCAGUGAGGAAUAUUGGUCAAUGGGCGGGAGCCUGAACCAGCCCAGUAGCGUGCGGGACGACGGCCCUAUGGUUUGUAAACUGCUUUUGUAGGGGGAUACCCCAAUCACUGGUGAUUGUUUGCCGGACAGUA